rnacentral:rRNA from 1 species
UACGAAGGGGGCUAGCGUUGCUCGGAAUCACUGGGCGUAAAGCGCACGUAGGCGGAUUGUUAAGUCAGGGGUGAAAUCCUGGAGCUCAACUCCGGAACUGCCUUUGAUACUGAGGAUCUUGAGUUCGGGAGAGGUGAGUGGAACUGCGAGUGUAGAGGUGAAAUUCGUAGAUAUUCGCAAGAACACCAGUGGCGAAGGCGGCUCACUGGCCCGAUACUGACGCUGAGGCACGAAAGCGUGGGGAGCAAACAGG